GUUUACAACAGUAGCAGUGUCACUUUAUGACACUAAGGGUCUUGUAAACAAUCUUUAUCUCUAACAGCUGUUCAAAUCAAAAGGUUUAUUUAACCCCUUAAUAGUUGCCAGUUGAUAAAGCCCUGUGUGGCAAAACGCGUUUUGGCUAUUAUUUAUAUUUUAUACUGUAUCAAUAAAGGAAUAUUGGCUUUUAUAUUAUAAUUUUGC